AGCUUUUUUUUUUCCUUGCUUUUUAUAAUUUGAGUAAAUAAUUUUUUUGUCCUUAAAAGUCUUCUUUAGUAAGUAUGUAUUAAAUGAAUUGGGAGGAGAGGGAUAAUCAAAUUAAGAGCAAGCUUCCCUUUCAAAUUUGUAUUAUAUGAUUGUCUUUGACUGUUUCCUGUACAAAAGAAAGAAAGCCCAUUUAUUUAAAAUUCAUUAUGCAAAUGUUUAUAUGCAUUCUGAUGCAUAGAAAUACAUGUUGUGAUGGCCUGCUGGUUAGGAGGGGAGCAGGUUUUGUAGGACCAUAACCGACACCCAAAGAAAAGUUACCCCAGCACAUUACAUAGAUUCGGUGGGAAGAAAAGAUCUGCAGAUAAUCCAUCACUUCCGUAUCGUGACCUCGGCUGAAUUCCCUAUCAAAUUCUGUGUCAUUGAAUCACAGUGACAGGUCCAAAUACAAAUGUCACAACUUUGCUCUGUUCCCUGGCUCUUGCCACAUCACCAUAACCAGUUUAUAUUCCCUUCCUGGGGACACUUGGGAAGAUUUAGAGGCUUUCAACCUAAUCUGACUGGCUCCACACAAACAGCUGGAGUUUUGCCAAGAUUCCAGUCCGAUUCUGUCAACAAGGCGGCUGCGUCCACAGGGGAGCCCCAGCUGGGUGUGCAGGAGCUCGGGCAACAGCCAUGAAUUAGCUUUAUCUGCUCCAGGAAGCAAUUUCCUAUAAAAACAAACUUCAAAAGCUGCCAGAGGAAAUUUUUCCCAUUGGAACCAGGCCUAGCAGGCGACUGUCUUUAGCAACUGUGUCACUUUGGUAGUCAGUCCUCAGGACUUAUAUGUAAUGUUUAGCCCCCGGACUUCAGUUUCCAGACAAAACCAGAGCCCAAUUAACACAGCAUGUGUCAAAACACUUCUGUAAUCAUUGUGGCACUGCUGUUCUGCACCCAAUUAUUUAAGUUAUUGUUUUUCAGUUUAGAUUAAGACAGCUAAGCAGAUAUGUUCUGACCUCAACUUAAAGAGGGUUGCUCUUGUAACUUCAAAGAGGUCAUUCUAUUAAACACAGCAUCCAGGUUAAGAAGAAAAGCACAAAGCAGUCUUCCGUUCAUUAGCCUCUUGCUGAAGUGUUAAAUGGAACAGAAGCUUCACUUACAGGUAUAUUUAAAUAAUAGUGGCAUUUAAGUAAGGGUUAUGCGUUUGUUCUAACUCUUUGUUAUAAUUCUUUCCAAAGAGUGUUUUAGCUAAAAGACCGCUGGAAAAGUUAACUCUUACAUGCCCCAAUGUGCUAUGAGUUUGGCAUCUUAUAUCAACCACUUACUGUAUAAUACAUGAACAGCAUAACACAGUGACUUUUUGUGCUUCUAUAAAGCAAACACUUACAGAGUUUGAGAGGAUUCUAGUGUUCUUCUGGGCUUCUGCGAAAUUUAGAAAUAUCUAUACAUUGUAAUUUGGGGUUUUAAUAUGAAUGCAUCUAAAGUAUGUAAACACUUAGAAAGAUCAUUAGGCAUGUGGAAAUUAUAUGCAGGGCAUGAACUGGGAAACAUGUGAAGGGGACACAAGAGUAUGAAGACCAUAGUGUAGGGAAAGAG